AGAGUUUGAUCAUGGCUCAGAAUCAACGCUGGCGGGUGCCUAACACAUGCAAGUCGAGCGAGAAAAGGGGAGCAAUCUCCUGAGUACAGCGGCGCACGGGUGAGUAACACGUGGGUAAUCUGCCCUGGAGUGGGGAAUAACACCGGGAAACCGGUGCUAAUACCGCAUACGAUAAUGAGGUCUGCGGACUUUGUUAUGAAAGGAGCAAUUCGCUCUAGGAGGAGCCCGCGGCUGAUUAGCUAGUUGGUGAGGUAAUGGCUCACCAAGGCUACGAUCAGUAUCCGGUCUGAGAGGACGGUCGGACACACUGGAACUGAGACACGGUCCAGACUCCUACGGGAGGCAGCAGUGGGGAAUUUUUGGCAGUGGGGGCAACCCUGACCAAGCAACGCCGCGUGGGUGAUGAAGUAUUUCGGUAUGUAAAACCCUUUCGACGGGGAAGAAAACCGCAAGGUUUGACGGUACCCGUAGAAGAAGCCCCGGCUAACUCCGUGCCAGCAGCCGCGGUAAUACGGGGGGGGCAAGCGUUGUUCGGAAUUACUGGGCGUAAAGGGCGCGUAGGCGGUCCGCUAAGUUAGAUGUGAAAACUCUGGGCUUAACCCAGAGCCUGCAUCUAAUACUGACGGGCUAGAGUUCUGGAGGGGGUAGCGGAAUUCCUGGUGUAGCGGUGAAAUGCGUAGAUAUCAGGAGGAACACCGGUGGCGAAGGCGGCUACCUGGACAGAAACUGNNNCUGAGGCCGAAAGCUAGGGGAGCAAACAGGAUUAGAUACCCUAGUAGUCC
rnacentral:rRNA from 1 species